rnacentral:rRNA from 1 species
UACGUAGGGUGCAAGCGUUGUCCGGAAUUAUUGGGCGUAAAGAGCUCGUAGGCGGUCUGUCGCGUCGGCUGUGAAAUCCCGAGGCUCAACCUCGGGUCUGCAGUCGAUACGGGCAAACUAGAGUAUUGCAGGGGAGACUGGAAUUCCUGGUGUAGCGGUGAAAUGCGCAGAUAUCAGGGGGAACACCGGUGGCGAAGGCGGGUCUCUGGGCAGUAACUGACGCUGAGGAGCGAAAGCGUGGGGAGCGAACAGG